UUGUCCUUUUUCACCCCUCUUUCUUUCAAUAUAUUUUCCCCCAUCCUAUCUAUAUUUAUCAUCUUCUCCCAUCUCCCAUCCUUCCCAGAUUCCCAUUUCUUCUCUUCUCUUCCCCUCACAAAUCUCUCCUCUCCCUCAUCCUCCUUCACAUUCACACCCCAUGGAAGAAGGAGAAGAAAAGGAGGAAGCUUUGUUCUUGAUUGAGGGGAAUGUUGUCUGGCUCGAGGCCACCAACUAGAUCCAUGUACCCAAAUCUCUUCUUUUUUUCCUUCUAAAUUCUGGGUAAUAGUUCAUCAUGGAUCAUGUGUUAGUGUCGUCGGACCAGGCUUCAUUCCCCCCAAUUUUCUGCUUCCCUUUGAUGAUUUAACCUACCCUUUCUCUCUCAAAUCUGUUUUGUGGAUAUUGUUGUUGUGGUCAGGUAAAAUAUGAAGAAUGUGGGUGGUGGACAAUUGCAGAUUGGUGUAAUGAUGAUGGUUUUUGACUUUGCUUUUGCAGAAAAGGGUAAAAAGUUUCAUAAUUACUCUCUUGUAGUGUAGUAUUGUCAGUCUUUAAAAGAACAAAUCUUUUUUUUUUUUUGUGAUGCUGAUGAUUUCUCUCAUGAUGGGUUCAAGAAUCUCUCUUGUUUGUUUCCAGAACCUCUCCAGUGCCUUAUUGAUUGACUUUGUAAGUAGUAAUCAUUACCACUACCUCUUCCAUGGCUUAGCUUCUUAGGGUUUCACUUUCUUUGCAAAAGUCAUGAUAAAAACCACACUGAAUCUCCACUCUCCCUGCAAAUCCAUAAAGGUUUCCAAAUCAAAGUAACAGAUCUGCAGAUCAGUGUAACAGAUCUAUAGUUUCUUCACUGAAAACUGAUCAUUUUCCUCCCUCCCAAAACAUGAUUUUCCUCCGGGUAACUCUCGAUCACCCUAAAACUAUGCUCCAGAGUUGUGCGCGAUUCGCGAUUUACCUCCUUCAGACAGGGGUUCGGGAGACUCAGAAUUAGUCUGACCUAAGCUGAGAAACCUAAUUUAUCAAACAAAAAACAUGAUUUUAACCCUUUUUCCCUUUCUUUCUUGAAAGAUCUGCAGUUCUUUUCUGGGAUAUUCUUGCUGCAGAUUUGCAGAUCAGUGACAUGGUAACUUCACACAGCAUAUAUUUGUGCUUAGAUUUCUUGAUUUAAUUUAUCUAUACAUGUUUUAUGCAUUCGAGGUAAGGGUAGCUGGAUAUGUUCAUACUGCCAUCAUUUCCAGCUUCUGGGCUUGCGUGUGAUUUCUCCAUUGCUUGAAGGAAGUUUUCAGAGAAUAAUCAAACAGCCUGGAAAGAUUAUUAUGACAAGUUGAGAUGUUGAAGCAACUUAACCCUAACUUGUUCAUAGGAAUGAAGAUCAGAGGUUAUCAUUUCUCAAUGAUGUGAUAAGCUAGCUAGCAGAAGCCUAAAUCUUUGCUCAUCUAUCUAUGCAUCAAUAUAAUAUUGGGUAGGAUAUAUUCUCUUGGGAAAUUGAAGCCCCCAUUUCAUGCACAGCUUUUACAAUGUUGGCAAGCAUUAUGCAUCUUGUUUAGUGAAAUUGUACUUAUUGUGUUAUUUUAUUUUAAUCUUUUUUUACUCACUUUACAAGUAACAA